GAGCACGUAGGUGGGUUUGUAAGUCAGAUGUGAAAGCCUUCUGUUCAACGGAAGAAUUGCAUCUGAAACUGCUAAUCUUGAGUAUAGGAGGGGAGAAUGGAACUUCUGGUGGAGCGGUGAAAUGCGUAGAUAUCAGAAGGGACGCCGGCGGCGAAAGCGAUUCUCUGGCCUAUUACUGACACUCAGUGUGCGAAAGCUAGGGGAGCAAACGGGAUUAGAUACCCCGGUAGUCCUAGCCGUAAACGAUGGGCACUAAGUAGAGGGGAUUACCUAUAUUCUCUCUGCCGUAGCUAACGCAUUAAGUGCCCCGCCUGGGGAGUACGGCCGCAAGGCUAAAACUCAAAAGAAUUGACGGGGGCUCGCACAAGCGGUGGAGCAUGUGGCUUAAUUCGAUGCAACGCGAAAAACCUUACCGGGGCUUGACAUGGUAGAAGUAGGAACCUGAAAGGGGGACGAACGGUAUCCAGUCCGUAGCUAUUACAGGUGUUGCAUGGCUGUCGUCAGCUCGUGUCGUGAGACGUUGGGUUAAGUCCCCUAACGAGCGAAACCCUUGUUUUUAGUUACCAGCGGGUUAUGCCGGGUACUCUAGAAAGACUGCCGUCGUCAAGACGGAGGAAGGUGGGGAUGACGUCAAGUCAUCAUGGCCCUUAUGCCCCGGGCUGCACACGUGCUACAAUGGUCGGUACAGACGGAAGCGAAGCCGAGAGGUGAAGCGAAUCCA
rnacentral:rRNA from 1 species